AUGGUGCCGGAGGACGGCGCGCAACAGGCGGCGGCCGCCACCGCGGAGCACCCCGCGGUGUCGGAGGUGGACUCGUUCCGGCGCCAGGUCGACGACCUCGCCUCCAAGACCGACGUGCUGGAGAGGAGGGUGAACGAGGUGGUAGGGUUCUACGACGGCAAGAAGCAUGGCAGCGGAGGGCGCAGGGCCAGUGGUAGCAGCAGGUAUGCGGCGAAUGGUGCAAGGGACAGCAACUGCAAAGGGAUGCCCGACCUCAUGCGGCAGCUUACCGGUAUCAUUCGCCAGAUCACGUCUCAUGAAUGGUCAGCGCCAUUUCUGCAACCGGUAGAUGUUGUAGGCCUACAACUUGAUGACUAUCACAAGAUUAUAACAAAACCUAUGGAUUUCUCGACCAUCCAAAACAAAAUGGAAGCGAAGGAUGGUACCAAGUAUAGAAGUGUUCGAGAAAUAUAUUCUGAUGUUAGAUUAAUUUUUACCAAUGCAAUGACAUACAAUGAUGAACAUCACGAUGUUCACAUAAUGGCCAAGUUAUUACUCGAGAAAUUUGAGGAGAAAUGGCUCCAGCUUCUCCCUAAAGUUGAGAAUGAGGAAAGGAAACAACAGGUGGAACCAAACGAUGCUCCAACCACAGACACUUCUCCGGAAGAUGCUAUUGCAAAAUUAGCAAAAGAUACUGAUGAUGAGCUGAAUGAGAUUAAUAAGCAGCUAGAGAUGCUCCGGAACAUGGUGGUUCAGAGAUGCAGGAAAAUGACCACAGACGAGAAGAGAAAACUCGGUGCAGGUCUUUGCCACCUGACACCGGAAGAUCUUAGCAAGGCGCUGGAGCUGGUCGCACAAGACAAUCCUGACUUCCAAACUACAGCAGAGGAAGUGGACCUUGACAUGGAUGCUCAGAGCGAGACGACCCUCUGGAGGCUGAAGUUCUUUGUGAGGGAAGCGUUGGAGCGACAGGCCAACACAGCCGCGGCCCCUGGCAAGACCGACGAAAACGCAAAGAGGAAGCGCGAUAUCUACAAUGCUCUAGCCAAGACCGCCUCGAAACGGAUCCGGAGAUAG
rnacentral:rRNA from 1 species